rnacentral:rRNA from 1 species
GACGAACGCUGGCGGCGUGCUUAACACAUGCAAGUCGAACGGUGAAGCGCUUUCCUUUUUGGUUGGUGUGGAUGAGUGGCGAACGGGUGAGUAACACGUGAGUAACCUGCCCCCUUCUUCUGGAUAACCGCAUGAAAGUGUGGCUAAUACGGGAUAUUCUGCGCCUGCUGCAUGGUGGGUGUGGGAAAGAUUGUGCCUUUGGGUGUUUUCGGUGGGGGAUGGGCUCGCGGCCUAUCAGCUUGUUGGUGGGGUGAUGGCCUACCAAGGCGGUGACGGGUAGCCGGCCUGAGAGGGUGGACGGUCACACUGGGACUGAGACACGGCCCAGACUCCUACGGGAGGCAGCAGUGGGGAAUAUUGCACAAUGGGCGCAAGCCUGAUGCAGCGACGCCGCGUGAGGGAUGGAGGCCUUCGGGUUGUGAACCUCUUUCGCCAGUGAAGCAGGCCUGCUCCUUGUGGGUGGGUUGACGGUAGCUGGAUAAGAAGCGCCGGCUAACUACGUG